AACGAACGCUGGCGGCAUGCCUAACACAUGCAAGUCGAACGAGACCUUCGGGUCUAGUGGCGCACGGGUGCGUAACGCGUGGGAACCUGCCCUUAGGUUCGCAAUAACUUCCCGAAAGGGGUGCUAAUACCGGAUAAUGUCUUCGGACCAACGAUCUAUCGCCUUUGGAUGGGCCCGCGUUGGAUUAGCUAGUUGGUAGGGUAAAAGCAUACCAAGGCGACGAUCCAUAGCUGGUCUGAGAGGAUGAUCAGCGACACCGGGACUGAGACACGGCCCGGACUCCUGCGGGAGGAAACAGUGGGGAAUAUUGAAAAGUGGGCGGAGGCCUGAUCCAGCAAUGCCGCGUGAGUACUGAAGGCCUUAGGGUUGUAAAGCUCUUUUACCCGGGAUGGUAAUGACAGUACCGGGAGAAUAAGCUCCGGCUAACUCCGUG
rnacentral:rRNA from 1 species